GAUUCUUAGAGUCGUUAACCACUGAGCCAUGAUGGGAACUCCCGGAUAAUUGCUUUAUAUUUUGAAGUUUAGGAUAGUCCUUGCCUGAAACCUUUAUACCGAUUACAGGCUGUGUGUAAGAAGUAGUAAAAGAGCAGAGAGGCUGAGAAAUCGGAGUAUCAGGAAAGCCUGGUUAAGGGAGAAAGGAACAUAGAAUUUCAAAAACCUGUAGCAGAGGUGGUGUUAAAUUCAUUCUGCAUGCAUUCAGUGAUGCUUUUGAGCCGCUGCCUUGUGCCAGCAUUAUUGUAGAAACAGGGAUUCUGGUGAACAGAUGGAGUAAGUCCCUGCUCUCACGAAGCUUAAGUUCUGGUUGGAGAUGAAAUCAGUAAUGAAAUAAAUACUAAAACAUCAGGUGGGCAUACAGUGAAGAGACCUAAGGCCUGGUAGGGGGAUAGAGACAAGGAGAGAGCGAUGCUGCUCUUUUUUAAAAGAUCGCAAGGAAAAGUCUCUCUCCUGAUGGUACUGCCAUUUAAUCAGAAAUCUGGAGAAAUUAAGGAACUAAGCCAUGUGACUGUUUGGAGAAAAAGGCAGUAAACGCAGAAGCUUUGAAUUAGAGUCCUAUUUGGUAUGUUCAAGGACUGCAGGGAAGCCAGGAUGACUGGAGUGGAGUGAAAUAAAGGGGAGAAAGAUACUCCCUUCGGAGAGGUAGCUCCUUCACAUUUUUAACACCUGGCCCCCAUUGGGACUUAACUUUGAAAAGGAAAAGAAGAGCAAAAGAUGAUGAUGUCGUAAGCCUUAGCAGCCUUGAUCUGAAGGGGUGGCCUCAGGGAGAAACCUGCUGAGACGCACAGGAUAGAUCCUGCUGUCUACCUGCUGCCUCCUCUACCAGUACCUUGUUCUCUGGAUGAGCAUUAACCUAAGACAGACCCUCCCACUCUGCACACGCCCUAGGCCCAGCCGAGCCUCUUCUCCAAAAUGUUUUGUCUCAACCGUUCCGCUUUUGCUCCUUCCAAGUCCCUGACCAAUCAGCCAAACCAUCCACCGCCUCUCAGGGCCGGUAUGUAUCUGUACCUCGUGCCCUUUCUGCCUCUCUGUCCAGUGAACAUCAGGAGUGCUGCUCACAGCUCUACUCACUGGAAAUAGUUCCCUUUGCUGCGCUCCUCAGGACCGUCCUUAGACGAUGCCUCAUGACAGCAGGUGAAGCCAAUCCACCCGCAAACAAGGGCUGUGUUCUCCCCUCUCAGCUGAUUAUGGAGACCCACCUCCAGCACCAAACGAGGAGCUGAGGAGGAGGCAUCAGGGCACUGGGCUGGCCGCUCAGUAAUUUCCUCGUGCCCUUUGGUCCUACUCAGGCUGCUUCCAAACGGGCCAUUUCCACUGUAUGAUAGGUUGCCACUGUGCCUGCCCAAUCCUGGGACUCAGUAGACUCUCCCCCGUGUUCAUUUGGGGCAACUCUAACUGCAUGAGUCACGUGACGUACCCGGGGCAGGUCCUCAGUCUUUACUAGAGCUGCUGUUCAAACAGCAAGUGGUUUCCUUCAUGGGAAGCAGGCCUGACUGCAGAACCCUGGGAAUCUGCAUUGCAUUUCUCCUCCUGGCCUUGCCAGAGACAUCACACAGCAUCCUUGCCUAGCCGUGGAUACCUCAGGCUGGGUCAGAUAUGCCAGCGGUUUCUCCGUGGGCAGCAUUCUUCGGUUUAUUACCUUGGCCCAGGAGUAGGGGGUGCGACUUCAGGCUCCCACUUGCCCUUCCCUCUGUAAUGACUCUGAGAACAUCACGAAGGUUACCAGCUGCUUUUUCAGGCUUUUAAAGCAAUUAACAAAAGCCAGGCCGUCCAUACUGUGGCCCCCUUUGUUGUUCAUUUGCCACCACCACUGCAGAAGCCAUCGCUUCACUGCUGCGUCUGUUCCAACUCCAUAGCUGGGUCCUUAUCACCAUCUUAUCAAUGAGUGACCAGUUCCAGAAUCCCAGACUGUGUGUCUUCUAAUCUCUAGGCCAGGCUCAGUGUCAGUCAGUAUCUCAGCCAGUGUUCCCUCCAGAAAUCAGAGCCUGAGACGUGAGGUAAUUGAGGUGGAGCAAGGGGGCAGCUAAUGCAAGUGUCUAAUUAUGGGACCUUCUAAAGAAACAUCUGACAUACAACACAGAAGUGUCUCCCCAAGGGACUGAGGCAGGAGCUUUUGUCCACCAGUGCCUAUGCUCUCCGAGGGUCAGUGGGUAUCCCAUUCUUCCAGUACACUCUGGCAUCUGAGGCGUCCAGGUGGGGAGCAGAAGACGCCUAGUGCAGCCAAGGCAAGUGCUGGCUCAGAGGUGGUUGCCGCAGCAAAAGGAAAAAGUGGGGAAAAUCCCACUGAACACUCUGCAUAAACACAGGUGAUCUUACAGGACACCGGAAAUUGUUCCCAUGUGUGUUUGAGAGAAAAAGUCUUGACUAACCAGCACAAAUACCCAAUUUUAUUUGCUCCUUGUUUUACCAUUGUAAGAAGAAUCAUGGUUUUGCUAGUACCAAACUUCUUAGUCUGUCAGCAAUUCUGUUCAUAGUCUUUCUAAUACUGUUUAACUGAUCGGAGUUGAUCUUUUCCCAAAAUAAAUUCUUAGUAAGCCUUGGACGUACUCACAUUUUAAUCCAAGUGAUUUUUUUAAAAAACUCAAAUCCACAUUUAACUUUAUUACUAACUUCUUUCAUACUCAUCUCCAAAUGUGACUGCCUUUUUUGGUGGUGUUUUUAACUCAUUACUAGAUGUUUUGGAAAACUCUGGUUCCUCAGAACCAUUUUACUAAUACUUCUAUCAGUGUUUCCUUUUUUAGUAAGAUUUGAAACUCUAAUUUUAACUAAACUAUUUUUAGUGAAAUACAAAGUAGUUAUUCCUUAUCUUGAACUCCAUAGAUUUUUUUAAUUCUAUAGAGUUUUUAGGUGAAACAUAGUUUUUUAAUGUUUAAAAAAGUCCUUAAAAUAUUUCUUGUGAACUGUGGAAUCUUUUUUAUACACUUGUAUGAUUUUAAAAUAGAUGUUUGGAGUUUGUGUCAUGGCUCAGUGGGUUAAGAACCCAACUAUUAUCCACUAGGAUUCGGGUUCAAUCCCUGGCCUCACUCAGUGGAUUAAGGAUGUUGC